rnacentral:lncRNA from 1 species
GCACGCUUUACGUGUCUGUCAAUGUGGCUGUGAUGUUCUCAGGAUGUGUGCAAUCCACAUCAAAAUAUUAGUUAGAAAAAAGAAAUAUUAAUUAUGGGAGAUGAGCACCCACCCCAGGUUAACAACACUAGCAGCUCCCGCCGUUCUUUCUUCAACGCAGCGCCCGACGAUUAUCGAUGUGAUGUGAUUCUUAAAGUGAAAAGAGCCACAGGGACAUUUUCAUUAGUGGCAUGGUGAGUCAAAUCAUAUUGCACAUCACUUCUUUGCUUUAGAGUGACAUUUGAGCAGUCUUAACUUUCUUAAAAUGUCCUCUGUGUAGCUUUUUCAUGCUGUUUGUGAUAUGGCUGUUCCGCCGAUAUAACUCUUUGGCUCAGAAAAUGAUAUUUAGUCUGACAGUAGCUGCAUUUUUUGACAGUGUUGCUUAUGUUAUGGUGAGUUGCACUGAUUCAUUUAUGUGUGUGUAAGAGAGAGAGAGACAUCCAAGCUAAUGUAUGUUGGAGAAAGGGAAAUGUUUUCUACCUUUUUAAUAACUAUUUCAUCACACCUUUUGCUUUCUUCUCAUAUGCAGGGAGAGUCUCAUCCAGAGGGGAAUCUGUGUAAUUUUCAAGCCUGGUGGCUCACAUAUUUUGACUGGACUGCGCUGAUGUGGGUUUGUCUUAUUACUUUUAAUCUGUACCUGAACCUGGUGAGAGAAAUUAGAACUGAACAUUAUUAGAUGUGAGUCACUAGACACACACAUGGAUAAACACGUUUAGUUGUGUAUACAUACAGACAGAGUGCUCCUAACAUCUGGAUGUGUUUCUCAGACUAUACCAUGUGGUGGCAUGGGGGGUUCCUCUGCUCAUGUCCACCCUCCCCCUGAUGGCUGGAUACUACGGUCCUGCUGGAGCCUGGUGGUGAAUGACUUUUGAUAUAUUCUUAGUUGCAAUCCUAUCAUUAACGGUGAUCAUCAGUCCUUUCUGUCUCAUUCUUUUCCUGCAGUUGGAUCACAGAUAAUCAUGUUGGGUGGAGGUUUGGCAUGUAAGUUUGUAAUGUUCAGCAUGCGUGUGAGUGUUUGCAGAAAUGCAUGCUGUGUUUAGGAAUG